GACGAACGCUGGCGGCGUGCUUAACACAUGCAAGUCGAACGGAAAGGCCCUGCUAUUGUGGGGUUCUCGAGUGGCGAACGGGUGAGUAACACGUGAGUAACCUGCCCUUGACUUUGGGAUAACUUCAGGAAACUGGGGCUAAUACCGGAUAGGAGCUCCUGCUGCAUGGUGGGGGUUGGAAAGUUUCGGCGGGUGGGGAUGGACUCGCGGCUUAUCAGCUUGUUGGUGGGGUAGUGGCUUACCAAGGCUUUGACGGGUAGCCGGCCUGAGAGGGUGACCGGCCACAAUGGGACUGAGAUACGGCCCAGACUCCUACGGGAGGCAGCAGUGGGGAAUAUUGCACAAUGGGCGGAAGCCUGAUGCAGCAACGCCGCGUGCGGGAUGACGGCCUUCGGGUUGUAAACCGCUUUCGCCUGUGACGAAGCGUGAGUGACGGUAAUGGGUAAAGAAGCACCGGCUAACUACGUG
rnacentral:rRNA from 1 species